UCCUGAUCCACAGCUUGUCCUGGUGUUCCUGAUCCACAGCUUGUCCUGGUGUUCCUGAUCCACAGCUUGUCCUGGUGUUCCCAGUCCACAGCUUGUCCUGGUGUUCCUGAUCCACAGCUUGUCCUGGUGUUCCUGAUCCACAGCUUGUCCUGGUGUUCCCAGUCCACAGCUUGUCCUGGUGUUCCCAGUCCACAGCUUGUUCUGGUGUUCCUGAUCCACAGCUUGUCCUGGUGUUCCCGGUCCACAGCUUGUCCUGGUGUUCCUGAUCCGCAGCUGGUCCUGGUGUUCCUGAUCCGCAGCUUGUCCUGGUGUUCCUGAUCCGCAGCUGGUCCUGGUGUUCCUGAUCCGCAGCUUGUCCUGGUGUUCCUGAUCCGCAGCUUGUCCUGGUGUUCCUGAUCCGCAGCUUGUCCUGGUGUUCCUGAUCCGCAGCUGGUCCUGGUGUUCCUGAUCCGCAGCUGGUCCUGGUGUUCCUGAUCCGCAGCUUGUCCUGGUGUUCCUGAUCCGCAGCUUGUCCUGGUGUUCCUGAUCCGCAGCUUGUCCUGGUGUUCCUGAUCAGCAGCUUGUCCUGGUGUUCCUGAUCCACAGCUUGUCCUGGUGUUCCUGAUCCGCAGCUUGUCCUGGUGUUCCUGAUCCACAGCUUGUCCUGGUGUUCCUGAUCCACAGCUUGUCCUGGUGUUCCCAGUCCACAGCUUGUCCUGGUGUUCCUGAUCCACAGCUUGUCCUGGUGUUCCCAGUCCACAGCUUGUCCUGGUGUUCCUGAUCCGUAGCUUGUCCUGGUGUUCCUGAUCCACAGCUUGUCCUGGUGUUCCUGAUCCGCAGCUUGUCCUGGUGUUCCCGAUCCACAGCUUGUCCUGGUGUUCCCAGUCCACAGCUUGCCCUGGUGUUCCUGAUCCGCAGCUUGUCCUGGUGUUCCUGAUCCGCAGCUUGUCCGGGUGUUCCUGAUCCGCAGCUUGUCCUGGUGUUCCUGAUCCGCAGCUUGUCCGGGUGUUCCUGAUCCACAGCUUGUCCUGGUGUUCCCAGUCCACAGCUUGUCCUGGUGUUCCCGAUCCGCAGCUUGUCCUGGUGUUCCCGAUCCGCAGCUUGUCCUGGUGUUCCCGAUCCGCAGCUUGUCCUGGUGUUCCCGAUCCGCAGCUUGUCCUGGUGUUCCCGAUCCGCAGCUUGUCCUGGUGUUCCCGAUCCGCAGCUUGUCCUGGUGUUCCCGAUCCGCAGCUUGUCCUGGUGUUCCCGAUCCACAGCUUGUCCUGGUGUUCCCGAUCCACAGCUUGCCGUGGUUUUCCUGAUCCACAGCUUGCCGUGGUUUUCCCACUCCAACUUGUGGCUUAGAGUGGUCUAAUACACGGCUAGAAGUUGUUUAAAUCUUACUGAAAUUGGAGAGACAACUUGAAAAGGUAUACUUUUCUCUUUCCUAAGUUUUUACAUGUGGCCCUCAGAUGCUGCUGUGAAAAUACUUGUGUAGGUUUUGCUGAUUUACACAGCUGAUUUUAGUGGGCUUGGGGUUGUGAGAAGUGAAUUUGUAGUGUUAACGUUACUGUAACAAACAUUAAUUUCUGGGACACACCAGGUAUUUAACAAGGUACCUGGACGACUCACACAUGGGACAUGACAGCCUAGAAGAGAAGCAUUGAUAAUUGUGGACUGCUUCAAAUACACAUAAAGUGAUUAAAUUAAAUGAAUGUAAACUAAAAUGAAUGCAACACACACACCUGGUGUGUCCCAUAGUGUUAGUUACAGUACUCACAAUCUCAACCCCACUAAAAUCAGCUAUGUAAAUCAACUAUACCUACACAAGUAUUUUCACAGCAACAUCUGAGAGACACGUAAAAACGUAGGAAAGAGAAAAGUACACCUUUUCUAGUAGUCUCUCCCUCCAACUUCAACUUUCUUAUUCACUCGUUGUCUGUUUCUGGUGUUGAAACUCAGCUCUGCCAUCUAGUGACCUGGAGCACUUCCGUUGUGGAAUCCCCUCCAUUGUGUUAUCCUAUUUGUGGCGCGUUUCUGUUUUGCAGUGCAUUUCUGUUGUGAAGUGGGUUUCAUUUUGGGCGUUCCGUUUUUGUGCUGCGUUUGCACCCCUCGGCCACCGUACAGAAUCCUGCUGCUGGAACAGAACAUCCAUGUGAAAGUAGAAAACAUCUCGUGUGCCGUCUGGAAACCAUGGAGAGGUUUUAAAACAUAAUUAAUGAUCAGCUGUCUAGUGCUGUUUAAUACCAACAUCGACAGAUAUGAGGGUUUUUUUUUUUUAAGGGCCGAUACCGAUUAUUGGUCAUCAAUAAAAGCUGACAACUGAUAUUUGGAGCCAAUAUACAUUCAAUGUAAAGUUUUUAACAGCAUAUGAUAGAAGAGAAGCUGUCAUUCAUUAAUCAGGGCGACUAUAACUGAAUAUGUAAAAUAGAAAAAGAAGGGAUUAAAUUUGUCUGUUUAUGUGGAUCGACUGACAAUCAUCAGUUUUUCUUCUGCUGUUCUUCAUUUUCUUAAUAUUUCACCGUUUCAUCAUUUUUAUUUCCCACUAAGGUCCAGAUCUUAAAGCUUUAUUAUUUAAUUGUUUUCCAGAUUCUGUUUCAGGUUAAUCUGCCUUCUAACUUAGCCGCUAGCCGUUAGCAUAGCCUUAGCCGCUAGCCGUUAGCAUAGCCUUAGCCACUGUGAGACAAGUGUGGCAAGGCUACAAGGGUUAGAUGUAUGUUUGUUAUUUACCACGUGUCUGACAACGCCACCUGGGGGAGUUUCACCCCCAGGAGAUCUAUUUAAGGAGGACCACCACUCCAAUACAGAUAAAAGAAAGGUCACACAGGUACAAGAGACACCGGAGACUGAUGCAAUUCCAAGUAUAGAAAAAUGAAAUUUAUUAACAAUAUUUAAAAAUUGACACGCUUUCAUCACUAAAAAAACCUUGGUGGCGAUGCCAAGAAAUAACUCAGUAGUAAGUGGCACAGUAUUAAUCUAAUCCUCCAGGGGCCCCCCUGACUUGGUUAAGUUUGCCACUGAAACACCGUCGCCAGGCACAGGGCUGAGGGCUUACCAGGCAGAGAUGACUAACUGAAGGGGAGAAGGGUCCUGAUGCACCACACCACACGUGAACAAAACAAAACCACUGACGGACACCCAAGUGCACUACUGUACAGGGAGUAAAGGGACCACCACCGCCGGGGGAAUCAGUCAGCCACCAGCCACCUGGCCCAACAGCUCCUGUCCAAGAAAAAGAGGCAAACUGUUAGUCACGGGAAAAUGAGGCACACCUACAUAGAUCUCAAAUAAACUGCCCCAACACCACACUAGGCUGGGCCCAGGAGGUCACCCCCAAGGCCAAUUAUGCCAACAUGCACCCCUUACUCCCUUGCCCAGUCAACCCAAUAAACCAAAAACAGGAAAAAAAAAAAUUUAUAAACCCAAAAAAAGGAUAACUGGAUAACUUAAAUACGCAAACCCAACAAAUAAGUGAAUAAACAAUAAAUAAAUAACAAAACUAACUAAUAAAGAAUCCCAAGAUCUAUGCUAAUAAUUCCAACACUAAUAAUUCUAACACUAAUAAUUCUAACACUAAUAAUAAUAAUAAUAAUACUCUCAAUAACAGGCGUGCUGGGCAAUAGGCACGCGCACACCAAGAUCGUCGUUGUUUUGUUUUUAAAACAUCACACAACACCAAAAAAAAAACAAUAAAACAACUGCCGAUGAGCAGAGAGCUUGCCGCGAUGAACCACAGACAGAACAGCAGUAGCCCGCUUCUGCGAUAGAACCGGCCGUCCGUGAAGACGCAGCUCCUCAGGCAACAGGGGAGACAGCCGUGGAAGAAAGCAGCAUGAUCACUGCCAACAGCAACCAGAAACCAAAGUCAUCUCAUGUGCAGCCCAGCAAAAACACACACAAAAAAACGAGAGACAGAAACGAGCCAGCCUACCUCAGGAAUUCAAUACAGCGUGUGAAUUAUUACUCCCGGCUCCCAGCCUUCAGCCCGAAUACGGCCCGACUCUGCUAGAAAGCAGAAAGCACAUCAAACACCACUAAUAUAACCCAGCGAUGUAGCGACCGCGUCGGCACAUACCUGACAAGAGAAAGCUCGACAGCCAGCGUCUCGAGACCGCCACGUGGAUCCACACAUCCACGCCACGUUGCUGAUGUGGCACGUAGGCUCCAGAAAGAGGUAAGAGGAUGCACGUACAAAACGCGCAGCCCUCUCCCAGAUAUAACCUGGCGUGGCACCGCCCAGCAAGCAAGGUGCAUUAGGAUGAUUACUCCCAGCUGCACGAACCUGACUCAAUGCACACAACCUGAGUGGCCGUCCUACCACACCAGCUAACUUCCUGGUUUGUGUUUCUUGUUGAGUCUUUGCUUCUUUAGAGACGUUUCUGAGACCACAGAGUAACGGCAGACAGGCAUUUAAUCAAUCAAUAGUCGAUCAAUAGAAAUACAGAUACCGAUAACUGGGAAAAUGCCAAACAUUGGACAUGAUAAUCCCAAUCAGAAACCAUGGAAUCUUUCAUCAGCUGAGUGCAGAAAUGUGGUCUGGUGCAGAAUGAACAGACAAAAUGCGCAUUAAAGACCCACAAAUCUGAACAUAAGACAUCAAUAUAUACAUAAAACAUGGAUGAUGCUGCUGUCCAACAUUACAGUGUAUUAUAUUUAGCUGUUAGCAUAGCCUUAGCCGCUGUUAGAGAAGCAAAUUUCCUGGUUUCUUGUUGAGUUUUCACUACUUGAGAGACGUUUCUAAGACCACAGAGUGACGGCAGACAGAGAGAGGAGGCUGAUCACAGCUGAAGUAGAGCAUUUAGUUCAUCAAUAAUUAAUAAAUAAAAUUACAGAUACCAAUAAUUGGAAAAUUCCAAAUAUCAGAGACGAUGAUUGGAGACUCACGGAGACAUGUUUUGGUCAUUUAACCUGAAAAGGUGAUAUUUUUCACCCAUAAAUGAUGCACAGACCGAGUUAUUUUAGGAACAUUUCUACUGUCUGGUGCUUUUUAUGCCAAUCUUAAAGACAAUAAACGGCAGAAGGACUCGGACUGUCGUCACAGGAGUAGUUCUAGUCUUUGUUCAGGUGAACUGUGAUGACAGCGGGUCUGAAUGUGUUCACAGCAAUUAGUCGUAACCGGCGAGUGAAAGGACGGUUUGUCUACGUAGAAGGUGGUUUCUGUCCGUUUGACUCGGGGGUUGGAGUGAUUAUAAAACCGAGGAGGAUGACACAUUCUCCGUUUGUCCAGUGAAGGAUGAGAUAAUAAUAAGAUCCUGGAGAAACCUGACAAACGUAAAUCACAUUAAGUGAUUCAUUGGUUCAUCAUUACUGGACGGAGCUGGAUUUUAAUGAAGCUGUUUUUAAUUCCAAGAAAAAGAUUUAAAGUCUGCUUUUUUAAAAAAUGUUUUGCAAUUUUUCAUUUCAGGCCCCUAAAAUACCGGAAGAGGGAUCAAAGCGUUGCCAAGGAAGUGCCUUCAGAGCCACAGCAGUCUGAACAUUGUUGUUCGGUUUCAUUUCUGAAAAACACGGACAUUCAUUGGUUGUUUUUGAACAGAUUUUUUGCUUUUUAUUCCACUGUACCUGCAUGUACCAUAUAUUUGUAAGGAAAUAUUAAUUUAAUAUUAAAUGCACCUAUUUAUUGAAAGGGUCUGUAUAUAAUGAUUUCACAAGCAUUUCAAAAAUCUCAUUAUUUUGGUUAUAAAAGUUCUAUACGACGGAGAGGAAGCUCUGUUUAUUUUCUGCUCCUCCACUAUUAUGCUGAUAAUACCCGCCGUCAUUGUCUUCAUUGCAUUUUAUUUGGCACUUGAGUGACUGCUGACAAUGAGAACAUGUGGAAUAACAACCGUGGUGAUGAUGCACUGCAGUAUUGAACAAUAAAGAAUAUUGAAGCACAGCAUAUUUUCUAUUAUUUAAGACGAAGGCAGCGAGUGUGGAUAUUCUUCUGAUGGCAGUUCUCUUUGUUUUUUAAAUAAGAAAAUGCAGCCAGUUAGAUACAGCAGCAAGAAAAAGUGAUUUUAUCUGAACUGUAUUUGGUGCUUGAGUUCUAGAUUCCAGUUCAGAUGAUUUAAUGAGACAGACCAAACAGAAAAAUCUGCCAAAAGUGUU
ensembl:lncRNA